CAUUCUCCUCCUUCCCUCUCUGUCGCCACUGAUAUUCAAAGAUCUUCAAUCCAUCAAUUCGAAUCAAGAAACCCUAAAUCUAUUUCGCGAUUCCACUUUGGCGACUAAUCUCUCCGACAUUCCCUGCCACCUUUGUUUGAUCGACUUCUUCUUCAUCUCGGUAAGAUUCUGUGAAGAACUUUUGAUUUUAAUUGGAAACUGUUAUCUGUUAUGGAGUAUUUGACGGCGAAAUCGGUGAAUACGAGAGGUUGAUUGGAAAGCGAUGUCGGAACCAGCGUCGGAUUAUAGGUUCAGUGACGGCGAUAUGACAAUGUUUUAUAGAUCUGUAUCGUUGAGUGGAUUUUGGUCGAAGCAUCGCGAUGACGUUGGCUGCAAUUAACUCCAGAAGGGUAGUGAUUAGUGAAUGAACAGCUUAGUUAAAGGUAUUU